AUUUUUUCCAACCCCUAGAGACGAGACCCGCCCGCCCCCUCCUGAUCAUUCCCUGCCUUCUGCCUUCUGUUGCGUGUUCGCUCUUCUUUCUCUCCAACUCUUCCAAGAAGAAGAUGCAGAGAUUGUUUGCGCUGAGACCCCUCACUGCUUCGCUAAUCAAGCGCCAAUCCGCUGCUGCUGCUUUCUCUACUUCUCUUCUAUUCGAUGAUACUCAGAAGCAGUUUAAAGAAAGUGUUGCUCAGUUUGCUCGAGAAAACAUUGCUCCACAUGCCUCGAAAAUAGACAGAUCGAAUAAUUUUCCACAGGAUGUGAAUUUGUGGAAAUUGAUGGGGGAUUUUAGCCUCCAUGGAAUCACUGCUCCAGAGGAGUAUGGUGGACUUGGCCUCGGAUAUUUGUACCACUGCAUAGCUAUGGAGGAAAUUAGCCGCGCAUCAGGGGCUGUUGGCCUUUCUUAUGGUGCACAUUCUAAUCUAUGCAUCAAUCAAUUGGUGAGGAAUGGAACUCCUGCACAGAAGCAAAAGUACUUGCCAAAGCUAAUCUCUGGGGAGCAUGUCGGAGCUCUUGCUAUGAGUGAACCUAAUGCUGGCUCGGAUGUCGUUAGCAUGAAAUGUAGAGCUGAUCGUACUUCUGAUGGUUACAUUCUCAAUGGAAAUAAGAUGUGGUGCACAAAUGGUCCUACUGCUCAAACACUGGUUGUCUAUGCCAAAACAGAUAUGUCAGCCCACUCGAAAGGAAUAACAGCUUUUAUCAUAGAGAAGGGCAUGCCCGGCUUUAGUACUGCACAGAAACUGGACAAACUGGGAAUGCGUGGAAGUGAUACAUGUGAACUUGUUUUCGAAAAUUGCUUUGUUCCUGAAGAAAACAUUCUGGGAAAGGAAGGAAAAGGAGUUUAUGUCAUGAUGUCGGGUUUAGAUCUGGAGAGGCUUGUUUUGGCAGCAGGCCCCCUUGGAAUCAUGCAGGCAUGUCUCGAUGAAGUUCUUCCAUAUGUUAAGCAGCGCGAACAAUUUGGCAAACCGAUUGGGGAGUUUCAGUUUAUACAGGGAAAGGUUGCUGAUAUGUAUACAUCAUUACAAUCUUCAAGGUCGUAUGUGUACUCGGUUGCAAGGGAUUGUGACAGCGCAAACAUCAAUCCAAAGGACUGUGCUGGUGUGAUACUCUGUGCAGCUGAAAGAGCCACACAAGUUGCUCUUCAGGCAAUUCAAUGUCUGGGUGGGAAUGGCUAUGUAAACGAAUAUCCAACCGGUCGCCUUCUCCGGGACGCCAAAUUAUAUGAAAUCGGAGCUGGAACCAGUGAAAUUCGAAGAAUGAUAAUCGGCCGUGAGCUCUUUAAAGAACAGUGAGGACAGUGUUGCUUGGUAUAUGCAAUGCAGGAUAAUUCAGCGGCGCUGCUUGACCGAUCAUUAUUUUUAAUUUGUUGAUACAUGAAGGGAUCUUUUAUUUCAUGUUCAGAUCCAUUUGGUUGUUGAAUCUUCCAUUGAUAUUCGUUGAUUUGAAUAAAGGGAUUCAGAGAUUGAAUGGCUCUGCCCAUUGUGGGGGCUAACCUUUUUGAAAAUUUGAGAUUUUCUUAGAGGAAAAUGAAUGGCAGAGACAGGAAUGUCAACGAAUGUAAGAAUAGCUCGGAGUGCCCGAAGGAUGUCCCGAUUGAGAAUAUCGACAAUGAGUCGCAGGCGUUGCUGCCCUCAGAUGAAGGCAGGAUUGAGAAACCUAAUAGGACGGUUAAGUGGACGGAUGACAACGGCGCCGAUCUUGUCGAGAUUUUGGAGUUCUGGCCCAGUGAAGCGAGUGACUCAGAUGACGACCGAGAUUGGGAUUAUUGCGAUUGCAGAAUAAUGUGAUAGAGCACAAACUCAAUCUUUGUUCUUCCUCGUGGUUUCAUGAGAGAUAAAGCCCAGGCAUUGGGGGAUCAUGGUUAUGGGUCGGGAGGGCUGGCGAGAAGUCACUCUCAACUAACCGAUCAUUUGGUGCAUCCGGUUCCUUGUAAUAGCGGUAACAAGAUAACAUCGUAUCAUUUUUAUUUAUGAUUAUUUUGAGAGAGAGAGAGUAAACAAAAUGAAUGUGAGAAAUGAUACGAAUGAUUUUUAGCGAGCAAUUAAAAAUAUACUAUUUCCUCUCUGGUCUACGAA